rnacentral:tRNA from 1 species
GUUAAGCUAAGUUAUUAGACUAAGUGUUUUCAAAACACUAAGUGGUAUUUAUUGCCGCUUGACU